CUCGUACGGGAGGCAGCAGUGGGGAAUAUUGCACAAUGGGCGCAAGCCUGAUGCAGAGACGCCGCGUGAGGGAUGACGGCCUUCGGGUUGUAAACCUCUUUCAGUAGGGAAGAAGCGAAAGUGACGGUACCUGCAGAAGAAGCGCCGGCUAACUACGUGCCAGCAGCCGCGGU
rnacentral:rRNA from 1 species